rnacentral:rRNA from 1 species
GACGAACGCUGGCGGCGUGCUUAACACAUGCAAGUCGAACGGAAAGGCCCUGCUUUUGUGGGGUGCUCGAGUGGCGAACGGGUGAGUAACACGUGAGUAACCUGCCCUUGACUUUGGGAUAACUUCAGGAAACUGGGGCUAAUACCGGAUAGGAGCUCCUGCUGCAUGGUGGGGGUUGGAAAGUUUCGGCGGUUGGGGAUGGACUCGCGGCUUAUCAGCUUGUUGGUGGGGUAGUGGCUUACCAAGGCUUUGACGGGUAGCCGGCCUGAGAGGGCGACCGGCCACAUUGGGACUGAGAUACGGCCCAGACUCCUACGGGAGGCAGCAGUGGGGAAUAUUGCACAAUGGGCGGAAGCCUGAUGCAGCAACGCCGCGUGUGGGAUGACGGCCUUCGGGUUGUAAACCGCUUUCGCCUGUGACGAAGCGUGAGUGACGGUAAUGGGUAAAGAAGCACCGGCUAACUACGU